CGUGUGGAAAGGUAACUGAAGACAGAAUUCCGCAAUGCAGCUUCCAAGAGGUCUUCACUCUAGGUGGGAUGGGAUGUUUUGUUCAUCCAGCUGUUGAGAGUCACCUAUGCUCCUGACCUGCCAUUUAAUAUUCUACCUCAUCCCAAUAGCAUCAUACUGGGCACCAAGCCUUUACUUAGCAUGUCAACCAUUGGAGGCCAUUUGGCAUCCUUAGUACAGCACUGAAACACAAAAGAGAAGUGGAGAAAGGAUCAAUGUUGAAAAGUGAACUCAAGGAGAAAAAAGAAAAAUCACAAUGGACAUCCUGUACCUGCCAAGCAAAAGCAGAAUUAGCCAAGAAGCUCAGCAUCAGAAGAAUGGAUAUUGAAAGCGUGAAAUUUGAGGAAAAUAUACAGAAGUAAAGAAAGUGGUAUUAAAUGGGCCAACUCACUUUUUGGAAAGG